GUGUGUGUGUGUGUGUGUGUGUGUGUGUUUUGCUAGGAAUUCAUGUAACCUAACCUGGCCUUGACAAUGCUCUGUAGCCAAGCCUGGCCUUGAACUCCAGAUCCUACUUCAACCUCCUAAGUGCUGGGUUGCAUGAGUCCCACACCUGGCUAGAGGUUAGCUUCAUUGCAUUCUGUCCUGGAGCAAGGUGAUGGGCAUGGCUUGCUCACCUUGGACUGAAGGGUGUGGGGUCCUGAGAAAUUCAGGUGGGAAAGCAGAAAAGCCUAGCUGUCUCCUACUCCAUCCACAUUCAAUCCCACAGACAUGGCUAAAGGGGUGUUUUCUAAGAUGCAAACUCUGGGGAUGAAGCCAAUUGAGAUCAAUUUUACAAGGUCCUUUCGAAUUUGGGGGCUUCAUGUGUGUGACACCCAUGGACCAUCCAUGUGUCACCUCCGUGGCCCCUCAAAUUGGUCCAUGGUCCAGCAUCCUUCCUCACGGCCAUUCCAUCUGCCCGAUAGCUAAAGUGCGCUCUCUCGUCUAAAAAUCACAGCACCCUGACUAGUUCACCAGCUAAGUAAGUCCUCAUUUUCCCAUUACUUUAGGACAAACUAGAGACUUUGCAGGUCCAAGGCUUGGACCUGGCUCCCUUGAGACUCCAACAGGGUAAGGAUCACCUUGCACCCAUAUCCUUCCUUCCUCAUUUAGAUUCUUAGCGCCCCUCCCGUUCCUUCCAGUAGCAACAUAGUUCUAAUCAAGGACCUGUCGAUCUGGUCACCUAGUUAUCAUCCCCUUGGGGCUGGUAGAGUGCUUGCUGCUUAAGUGUGAGGACCUAAAUCCACCCCUAGUAACACAUAAAAAGCUGAGCAUGGUGGCACACUUACAACCCCAGAACUAAGGAGGCAGAGACAGAUGACUCUGGCCCGGGGCUCCCUGGCCGGCCAGGCUAGGCUAAUCAGUAAGCUCAAGUGCCCAGUGCAAGACCCUGUCUCAAAAAGUAGCUUUGAGAAAUGACACAUGUGCCUGGCCUCUGACCUACCCAUGUACACACACGUGCACACACGCACGCACGCACGCACGCACGCACGCACAUCUACACAUAUGAACUGAGUAUCUAGUCUCCCCCAGCCUUGUCAGCCAUAUCCCCAGACUGUCCAUCCAAGGGGCCGACAAGUCUCUGAUGCUCACUCCUGUUUCACAGCCCCUGUGGAUGUUAUGUGGAUGACAUUCUAGAGUCAUCAAAAGGUCCCACCAAUACCACCCUCACUGCUCCAUCUGAGUCAGAGAAACCCUCUACACCCACCAGGGUCUCCUGUCCUCAUUUCUGUCUGGCAGGUCAUCCUGAUAUCACAAGAUGGAAGAUGAUCCCAGAGAAAAGACAAGGUCUGACGGGACAUCUGAGGUCUGAUCUGUCUUCAGUGAUUAUACCUAAUUUGUCUACCCCUCUUAGCUCCGUUCAGAUCCCUAUCCCAGCGCUCACUUGGUGUUUGGGGGACCAUGAGCCUCAGAGUUGACGUAAAGAUAGCUCACUGGCUUUUGCAGUAAUCAACACUGAAAGUGUUCAUUCCUUGCCUUGCCGCCAAGGUAAUAAUAAAACUCACAGCCUCAUUACUUGCUUGUUGGCUAAUUCCCUUGUUCUUGUUUUCCUUCCCCUUUUCUCAAAUGAAUUCCUGAGUUCUUCCAGAUUUCUCGUUGCUAAGCUAUAAAGUUCCAGGUUUUGCAGCCUUGCUGCUCAUUGGUGGAGAGUUCCUGGGCUGCUCCAACCAGAAAGAGGCUCCAGAGAAAAGCAUUCACCCUAGGAACUGCGAAAUUUCUAGCAGUUGAUGUCAUUGUAAAGGUCUUUGUCUAGCUCUGUGGAAUCUGCUGUACUCUUGAACUGACUAAGGAGAGACAUAGAGGUUCUAGAAUGUUCCCCCCAGGAAGAUGAGAGACCAUGGAUGGACACUGUGACCUCCUCCCCUGUCCACCUCCCAGCCCGGUCAGUGACAGCAGGAGGCCCAGGAAACUGGUGGCACUGAACUUGGGGCACUUGGAAUGAGGGGUUCAUUUGCAAAGGACCUCUGAAUUCCUAAGCCGAAGUCAUCCCCAGUCCUUUAGCAGUUGGGACAAUAAGGACUGUCACAGGUGACUAUAAAGGACUAUAAAAUGUGUAGAUGGAAGAGCAUUUACCUCAGCAACCAUAACAGCCUGCCUCCUCCCAUUCAGAAGCUGCCCUGGACAUCUGGAGACCAUGAGAGAUGGCUGUGGACUUUAGCUUCCUUCUUUCAGAAAGAAGGAAGUCAUAUGAUCCAGACAGGCUCUAAGAUAGUCACAUGACCCAGAUAGGCCAAUCAGAAUUUUCUCUGAGACUUGCCAGCCAGAGCUAUAGGAGAAGACCUCAUGCACUGCACUGACUGUGAAAUGUGUGGAAGGUAUUUGAGAAUAUAGAAAUCCUUAAAAGAUAUAGAGCCCCUGAGCUCCAGCUGUGGGUAAGCAGAUCUAUGUCUCACAUCUAGCAGUGUGUGUGUGUGUGUGUGUGUGUGUGUGUGUGUGUGUGUUGCUAAGAAACGAAACAUAUAGAUUCACUACAUAGUGCUUGGCUGAAUGUCAGGUGAUGUGCAUACAGUUCAUGUAACGUCCUUGAGAUCACCUAGUGUGUUACUACAUUUUGCAGACUGAGAAACUGAGGAUCUGAAGGGUACAGGAGCCUUGCCCAGGGGACAUUGUCACUGUGUGUUCAGGGAUUCCAACACGUGCUAGCUAAACCUUAGCAAAUUCAACCUGAUGUCUCAUGAUGUAAUGUCACAUGCCCACCUUUGGGAACCUCUUGAGACUUGGUCAACUCCCACUAGGUUCCACCCAGCUCUCAGAUUUUGACAGUUUCCUGCACCCAUCAUCCCAUCAUUUAUUCCCAAUUAUGAGAUGAGUCUGUUGUAGAAGCUACUUCAUUACCAUCUGGACACAGGGUGCCCUCCACCAUGUUAAAAUGCAGUGAGACCAUAUGAAAGCAGAGCAGACACCAUGCUCAUGAGCAUCUCACCUUCCAGGACUAUGAGCUAAAUAAAAAAUUUCUUUUUAAAUAACCUGAGUAUUUUUAUAGCAGCAGAGAGCUGACUGAGGCGGCUAGCUUCCUGUGGGACGAGUGUCGUGAGUGCCGGCAAGCAGGGCACUAAGCAGAAGAUUCUCAGUGACAAGUGGCCAGAGUUCCAGGGUCCUGGGUAACCAGGUCCUCUGCUCCAGUGUCCCCACCGUGGUCCAGACUAUCAGCUGCCACUUCAUUCACCUUCACCUUUGGAUCUGCCCUAGAUGGCUCAUCUUGCCAAACUUCACACUGAAACCACUGCCAGUGAUAUCGUACGAUGUGAGCUUUGUGCAGUUGAGGGGCAAUGUCUUUCCUGUCCUUGCGACUACUCUCUCUAGACUGAGUCAAAUGCCUUGAGAGCUGAUCAUGUGCCUCCUUUUGCCAUUCUUUUUUCUGCUAUGGGAUGAAGAAUUGGGAGGCUCUCUUCUGGACCAUGCACUGGCCUUUCAAACUCUGAGUCAAUUUAAACUUCCUCUCUUAGCUGGGCAGUGGUGGGGCAUGACUUCAGUCCCAGUACUCGGGAGGCAGAGGCAGGCAGAUCUCUGUGAGUCCCUUCUCUUCCUUCUCUUUCAUGUUACAAAGUCUCAGGUAAUAACAGAAAGCAGACUAAGAUAGUCUCCAUCCAGAAACCGGGAUGAUUUCUUCUAUGGAAAACCAGGCUUUGUCACUCCUAUUUUUACCCACAACAACCUCCAUUGGGGGUCUAGUAAGAUCCAAGUUCUCAUCCAGGCCUGGGAGUCCACAUGACCAGACCAGCGCCUGCCAUUCUCUCAUAGCCCACUCUGUUCCUGCACAGAUAGAUACCUAAUCUGUUCCUCUCGCACACAGCUCUUUCCUGACCCUGGGCCUUUGCACAUGCUGUUCUUCUACCUGGAUGCUCUUCCCCUGUGUUUCUGCAGGGUUGAUGCUUUCUGAUUCUGUGUGUCCACAUGAUGGCUUUUGCCCCACCCACAGAAUGGGCACUCCGUAAGGUGAGGACUUUUCCCUUUCCGAAACAUUUGCCAAAGGCGGGCUCUGCAUGUGCUCAAGGCCCAGUGGGCAUUGACCGUUUGCAUGUUUGCUUACAAACGACUACUGGGGUGACCAGGUCCUUAUCUGCACAUAUGGUUCUGAGCCACAUUGAGACAUGAGGCGUUUGCAGCCAUUCUCCACCCCAGCCAAGUUCCCAUGUGGCAGUCUGGAAAGGAGUACACUAUGCAGCCUUCGUGUCUACACGUCCAAACACCGUUUUCUGAGAGCCUGAGAAGAAAUGGAGCCACAGCUGUCACCAGAGCUAAGUCACCUCGGGGCCCUUGGUCCACCACUUGGCAAGACUCUUCCAGAUCUGCAGACUUUCUGACCAAGUCUGAAAGCUCCUGUCUGCACAGAAUAUGUGGGGUGGCCCAGCAGUCACUCAGCAGGUUUGACAGAUAUAGGUGAUGGACGCCUCUCCACACUCCUGAUCCCACCCCACCCCGAGACAGCCAAAGCUGCUUCUUCAUCACACAGGGACUCCUGUCCUGACACAUUCCCGUAGGCUAUGAUGGUCUGUGAGCUGUGCUCCCUCGGGCAAGUCACUCACCCUCUCCAGUCCUCAAUCCCCCUCCCCCAAAAAAAGAUCAGAAGGGGCUGGCAUGGUGGUGCACGCCUUCAAUCCCAGCACUUAGGAAGUAGAGGCAGGAUCUCUGUGAGCUCAAGGCUAGU